CGGUACCUUGGUGGACGGAUGUCGGGUCCACUGGCAGUGCUGAGUAGCUCUGACUUUUCAGAUUCUCUUUACGCUUUUUUAAUCUGUUGCACAUUUCUUUUGAAAGGGUGCGGCUGGAAGGAAAUGAAACCGAUGCACCUGUGACAUAUUGCUAGAAACCUAAGGGAUGCAAAGUGGGACAAAACGGAAAGGGGACCUUCAUUUGUACCUGAAUCUGUCCAAUAAGGAAAACUUGAUCUCAUUUUCAGUUGUAAAAAAUGUUGCUAUGGUGUGCACUAAUGACUUUCAUUCUUCCUACUCCUCAGUCAAUGGGCUUACUACUCGUUUAAGAAAACACAUUCACAUUCAUGAAUAUUCAUGUCAAUUGUAAAAUGACUUUAUAAUAUGUCGUUACAGUACAUGCAGUUGCAAAGUACAUUUCAGAUUUUUGGGGCGGCAUGUAGCACUAGUGGUUAGAGCGUUGGGCCAGUAACCGAAAGGUUGCUGGAUCGAAUCCCUGAGCUGACAACUGUUGUUCUGCACCUGAACAACCCAAUGUUCUCCAGUAGACUGUCAUUGUAAAUAAGAAUUUGUUUUUAACUGACUUGCCGAGUUAAACGAAGGUUAAAUGACCAAGAUAGAAACAAAUACCAAGAUAGAUACAAAGAAAGAUACAAUUACAUGGUGAGGGCUACACGUUAUAUCUGCCUGUUAGAGGAUAUGUACUGUACUGUAUAGAAUUUACAGCACGUUCACUGGAAAGGAGUGACCGUUGUAAUUUACUACAACAUCAUUUGAGGGGAAAUGCCAUGGAAGAUCCCUUGUGUUGAAAAGCAUCUUGUAUUUUCAACCAUCUUAGGGUCUUUAAAAGACAGGGACAUUGAACAUGGAGGUGUGCUUGAAACAAAAAGAUUCUUGGUGAAUAGGGCAGAGUCAACAAGGACUACGACUGGUCACAAGCCAUGGAAACACGCUAGACCAAACUACAAAAAUAUAUACUUUAUUACACGGUUAUUACAAGUUCUAAACAAACAAGGGCAUUAGCAUGCAAGAACACGGUCGCACAUCUUUGCCUCUUGCACCAGUUCAAUAGAUACUACAACAGUUUCUCACUUAAAGGAGUUAAGAUGCAGAUUAAAUACGCACCAAAAUAAGUGCGAUAUCCCAGCACUCCAAUUGUUAACACCAAAAUAUGUUAGCGAUAUCUCUGCACUCAGAUUGUUCGUUUAUACACAGCAAACCGUAAGGAGUCACAAAAAAGCUGGGUUAAUUACGAUAAGAACGCUACAAGUGAGGCUACACAUUGACUGAGGCUCCAAAAGCAAUAUAGAACUUCAGCCUUCCCCUUUAACGAAGCUUAAAAUACAAAACAGUUCAACAAAAGGGCUCCAAGAUGCCUAGAAACAAACAAUACACACAACAACAAAAGGGUUGCACUUCACCUCGCCGGGCUCCAAGAUGCCUAGAAACAAACAAUACACACAACAACAAAAGGGUUACACUUCACCUCGCCGGGCUCCAAGAUGCCUAGAAACAAACAAUACACACAACAACAAAAGGGUUACACUUCACCUCGCUGGGCUCCAAGAUGCCUAGAAACAAACAAUACUUUAAUAUAGCUUACCGAUGGUCAUCAACAAUACACACAACAACAAAAAAUAACUUCUAGCAAUGGCAUGGUUGGAGUCCAGCAGUUACUUCUCCUCUCCCUGAUCUGGUUUGCGCCGGUACGAACUCUUAAGAGUAACAGGGAAUAUCCACCCGGUUACAAGUUUUAUGCCAAAUUGACACCCAAGGAGAACGUGGAACAAACCAAAUGCCACAGUGAGAGUUGUGUUGGUGAAAAAGUGGAGGAACAAGUGUUUUCUGUAAUUUAAAAUACAAUCUAUUUUUUUAGGUAAUGGGAUUUUGUCGUUUAUUUUGAUCAUUUGUUUGGGAUGUGUUUUUACAACCAGAUCUAUUUCUAGGUAUCGUUGCCCAUCUCCGGCGCUUUGUCAAACAGUUGAUACAAACUCAGAAAAUGUUGCUGUGUUGAAUGUACUUUUUGAAGGUGUUCAUUUCAGGUGUCAAACAACAUGGCUGCUUUGAACUUGCAUGAGGCCAUGACUUUAUACUGUAUGUUCAGGCAAUGUUUAGUUGUCCUAUAAAGCUUGUUCACCUUACCUCACGUCAUACUGAUCCGUAUCACAUCAUUUAAUUAAGUCCGUUGAUAGUUAUUCAUAUUUGGCCUAAAGUUUGUCAGACCAUGAAACAAUUAUAAAGGAAGUAUGACAUCACAUGUUUAUUUUUCUUUCUGUCUUUGUCCCUCUGUCAGGUAUAUUGGCUGCAAUGGACUCCGGCCUACUUUCACAUGACCCAGCAAUAGAAAGAAACUUUGGUCUGAAUCUGUAUCCCACCACAGUGCUUUGGAGAGGGGGCUAGAUUUCACCCAGAGGCCCCUGGCGUGGGGAUAAGCUAUUGACUACGCUGGUGCAGUACCGGGAACCACUUACACUGUCAUCACCAAACCACAAUUUACAGUUAUAGCUCAAGCAUGGUGGGAGCUGCAUCUACUUGACAUCGGAAAAUGCUGAGGACUUUUUUUAGGAUAAAGAGAAACGGGAUGAAGCUAAGCUCAGGCAAAAUCCUAGAGGAAAACCUGCUUCAGUCUUGCUUUACACCAGACACUGGAGAGGAAUUCCCCUUUCAGCAAGACAAUAAUCUACAACACAAGACCAAAUCUACCAUAGAGUUGCUUACCAAGAAGACAGUGAAUGUUCCUGAGCGGCCAAUUCACAGUUUUGACUUAAAUCUGUUUGAAAAUCUAUUGCAAGACUUGAAAAUUGCUGUCUAGCCAUGAUCCCCCGACAACUUGACAGAGCUUGAAGAAAUUAAAUCAAUAUUUCUCCCACUUUGUAACACAAUAAAAUGUGAAGAAGGGGUAUGAAUACUUUUGCAAGCCACUGUAUAUAUAUAUUUUAGAAGAAAAAAAAUCUGGAAAAACGCUCUCAUUUGACAUUGAAAUGACUGAAACCCAAUCAAAACGGUGUAAAAAUGAUAAUGGACCUACAUUUAUAGUCUCUUCACUCUGCCCAGCUUGCUAACAGUCAUCGAAACAAAUGCUAGAAAGCAUCGGAGCAUCGGAACUUCCAACAGCAAUGGAUAUGGGAAUCUUUUUUUGCUCAUUUUAACAGCGAGGAAAUAUAAACACAUUUUCAGUACGGACCUCCGGACCUCGGUGAAGACCGAGGUGUAUGCCACGCUGUUCUUUAGCCUUUGUCAAACACCUGUCUUGUGUUUCACCCUUUGUGUAAUUGGGAAUUUGGUAACAGUUUGGUAACAUGUUUAGUAACUAUAUAUAUACAUUAGGUCAGUAAAUCGACACUCCUCUGUCUGUCAGAGAGUAACGACAGAUCUACAUCUGACCAUUUACAAUCUGUUUUUGAGAGAGCAUCUCUCCUUGAACUCCUUGAACUCAACACAACAGGCCUUGAUAAGUGAUACCAUGUGGUCAUUGAAAUACGGUAGUAGAAUAUCCUGCUUACUCCAGUGCGUAAUGGCAAGGGCUAGGAUGAGGUAAAUAGACCGUGCAUAAUUCAAUGACACGAUUACAUACAAGUACACACACACUAACUGAGUUCCAUAACCACAGUCUUCCAUAAUGAGAUUCAUCUAACAUUUUGGUGUGUGUGUGUGUGUGUGUGUGUGUGUUAGCCCUUUUCCCCUCACACCGGAAGGAAAAAGCAGAGGAGGCACUUUAUACUCUUGACCAAAAAUGAAACAAUAAAGACUGAGCUGCCAUGAUGAAUCUGAAGCAUGCCGGGGAAACGGGAGAUCGCGGGGAACAGUAUCCUACAGAACACCGGUUCAGUGAAUCAGAUUUUGUAUUCAGUAGCUCUCUAUGGGGAUCUCAAAGGAAUUGGGGAUUAGCAAGAAAAUGAAAUUAAUGCAUUUCCGUUCACAGCCAGCUAGCUCCCCGCCUGCAGCAGGAGGCACAUUGACUGCCUAUCAAAUGGCACCCUAGACCCUAUAUAAUGCACUCAACAGGGAAUCGGGUGCCAUUUAGGACUCACACAUUGUGUUCUCACAUAUAUAUGUCCUCACGGCAAAUGAGACAUUGGAUAUAGGAAGGUCUGGUAGAAUUGACAGCCUGACUAAAAUAGGUUGAGUACCCUUUCAGCAGAUGUAGCGGAGGAAGCUGUACAACAGUGUGGUGGGGAACAGGAAGUAGCAGGACGUAGCAGGGCGGUCAAUGUGAAACUGCUGCAGUUGGUGCUGCUCUACCUGAAGUGGACGGGGUAUUCGCGAUGGCACAGACGAUGUCUGCUCCUGAUAACUGAAAUGUUCAUGCAUAAAUGCAAAGCGUCUUUUUCCAUCA